UGAGGCGCGCCGAGUUUGAUCCUGGCUCAGAUUGAACGCUGGCGGCAGGCCUAACACAUGCAAGUCGAGCGGCAGCGGGAAGAUAGCUUGCUAUCUUUGCCGGCGAGCGGCGGACGGGUGAGUAAUGCCUAGGGAUCUGCCCAGUCGAGGGGGAUAACAGUUGGAAACGACUGCUAAUACCGCAUACGCCCUACGGGGGAAAGGAGGGGACCUUCGGGCCUUCCGCGAUUGGAUGAACCUAGGUGGGAUUAGCUAGUUGGUGAGGUAAUGGCUCACCAAGGCGACGAUCCCUAGCUGUUCUGAGAGGAUGAUCAGCCACACUGGGACUGAGACACGGCCCAGACUCCUACGGGAGGCAGCAGUGGGGAAUAUUGCACAAUGGGGGAAACCCUGAUGCAGCCAUGCCGCGUGUGUGAAGAAGGCCUUCG
rnacentral:rRNA from 1 species